rnacentral:rRNA from 1 species
AUACGGAGGGGGCUAGCGUUGUGCGGAAUUACUGGGCGUAAAGCGUACGUAGGCGGACUGAUCAGUUGGGGGUGAAAUCCCAGGGCUUAACCCUGGAACUGCCUUCAAUACUGUCAGUCUUGAGUUUGGGAGAGGUGAGUGGAAUUCCUAGUGUAGAGGUGAAAUUCAUAGAUAUUAGGAGGAACACCAGUGGCGAAGGCGGCUCACUGGCCCAUCACUGACGCUGAGGUACGAAAGCGUGGGGAGCAAACAGGAUUAGAAACCCUAGUAGUCC